UGAUGACUAUCUUUAGAGUGGUAUUUGAGUUGAUUUUUCUUAUUUGUUUGUGUAUCAAUUGUAGAUUUUUGGUUUGCAGUUAUUCUGAAGUUUUGAUAUGAGUCUAUAUGUAUAUGAGAUUGUUUUAAGUUGUUGUUCUCUUAAUUGCAAGUUCAUCUCCAGUGUCCUGCAUUUGUACCCACCUCUUCUCAUGAUUUCUGAUUUUGGUGGUAUAAUUGUGCAUGGAUGAUUUCGUAUCUUUACUGUAUAUAUACCUUUACUGGUGAGCCUUGUCAUUUGUGGAAUUUUUGUUUCCUGUUGCUGUCUUUUCUUUUCUGCCUAGAGAAGUUCCUUUAGUAUUUGUUGUAAGGCUGGUUUAGUGUUGCUGAAUUCUCUCAGCUUUUGCUUAUCUGUGAAGGUUUUGAUUUCUCCUUCAAAUCUGAAUGAGAGCCUUGCUGGGUAGAGUAAUCUUGGUUGGAGGUUUUUUCCUUUCAUCACGUUAAGUAUAUCAUGCCACUCCCUUCUGGCCUGCAGAGUUUCUGCUGAAAAAUCUGCCGAUAACCUUAUUGGGGUUCCCUUGUAUGUUACUUGUUUCUUUUCCCUAGCUGCUUUCAAGAUUUUCUCUUUGUCUUUAAUUUUGGUCAGUUUGAUUAAUAUGUGUCUCAGUGUAUUCCUUCUUGGGAUUAUUUUAUAUGGUACAUGUUGUGCUUCCUGGAUUUGAGUGAGUGGUUCCUUUCCCAUGUUAGGGAAGUUUUCAGCUAUUAUCUUUUGGAAUAUUUUUUCUGUUCCCUUCCUUCUCUCUUGUCCUUCUGGCAACCCUAUAAUAUGGAUGUUGGUGCAUUUAACAUUGUCCCAGAGUUCCGUGAGACUCUCUUCAAUUGUUUUCAAUCUUUUUUCUCUUUUCUGUUCUGCAUACGUAAUUUCUACUAAUCUGUCCUCCACCUUGCUUAUUCGUUCUUCUGUCUUCUGUAUUCUGCUGUUAGCUGCUUCUAGUGAAUUUUUUAUUUCAGGUAUUGUAUUUUUGCAUCUCUUCUUGUUUAAGUUUUAUGUCUUGUAUCUCUUUGGUCAUUGUUUCCUAUAAGUUAUCCAUCUUUGCCUCCAGUUUAUUUCCAAUGUCUUGCAUCAUCUUCAGCAUCAACAGUCUAUAAAGUCUUUUUCCUGGAUACUGAGAAUCUCCUCUUCACUUAGCUGUUUUUCUGGGGUUUUUCCUUUCUCCCUCAUCUGAGUUAUAGUUCUCUGUCUUUUCAUUUGUAUAGGUUUUUGGUGUGGUGACCUUUUUAUAGAUAAUAGAGUUGUAGCCUCUCUUACUUCUGGUGUCUGCCCCCCUUGCGGCAGAAGUUGGUAUGGGGGCUUGCUGUAGGCUUCCUGAUGGGAGGGACUGAUGCCUGCCCCCUGGUAGGUGGAGCUAAUUCUAAUCCCUCUGGUGGGUGGGGCUUAGUAUCUGGAUGGGAUUAGAGGCAGCUGUGUGCCUGAAGGGUCUUUAGGCAGCCU
rnacentral:lncRNA from 1 species